GCUCAAGUCGCUUAGCUUGGUAGAGCGCUGGUCUGCUAAACCAGUACGUUUAUGCGUGCGGGGGUUCAAUUCAAAAGGAGACUUACUCUUAAAAGAACACAUCCCCCCUUGAGCG
rnacentral:tRNA from 1 species